GCGCGAGUGCCGGAGGACCUCCGCUGCCGGUGGUGCCCCUCGCGUCCCAGCAGGAGGAGGGGACCCCCUCCCGCGCCGUGCCCCCCGCAGCCAAUGCGCCCACACCCUGGCUUCCGACAGCUGGCAGCCAUAGCAACCCGGCCACAGAAAGUUUCGCUACGCAGAGAGCGACCUGGAAUAAAGUUUUCCUCCGCGCCUCGCUAGCUGUCCCCCGGCCCGGGUUUACAGAAAGAGACAGGAAAUCAGAGCUCGCGACGUGCCGGCUCCCGCGUCCACCUUCUCCACCCGUGCCCCGGGCAGCGUGCCCAAGCGUCACUCCUCAGGGAAACCGUAGUAGCCAACAAGCUUGGAGCUGCUGGAGUUUCCAAAGACCUCUGGAUCCUGUAGUCCUCCUCCCCCGCCAGCCUCCAAAGAGCGCUGCGGACCCAGGCUCGCUCCUGGUGGCGAGACGCGAACUGUGAAGAAGAAAACCCUCGUGAAGGAGGAGCAAACCUUUCACUUCGCUGUGUUUUAAGACGAACAUGAGGGUGGGUUUCGCUUCCAAGUUGAACUGGCAUGAUUUUCCCAGAACUUUUUUUUUUUUUUUGAAGGAAAUCUGUUAUCAGCAUAAAAGAUCAGAGUCGUGGCAGCAGCCCAAAGGAAAUCCUUUUCUUUCCCACGUCUGGAUUGUGAGCAAAGUCAAAAAUAUCGUUUUCCUACCCCUCCUUUUACCUGGAUUUCCUUGGAAAACAAAGGAAGCCUUCUGACUGCUUUUU